rnacentral:lncRNA from 1 species
UCUAAGGAGUCAUGCAUCUGGACAGAGUUGGGUUUCGCUUCUCGUUCUCUAGGGAAAGAGUUCUGUUGGCGGGAAAACGAGACCCAAUAUAGGUGUUUGGCGCGAGGGAUUCUUUGCAGAGUCAAUUGAUCAGCUUGAGGAGAGAGAUCGUGUGUGGACUUCGCAAUCCCAGUUCCUUGCUUCCCGGAUCAAGCUUCAAGCCUUGCCCUGUCUCAGGGUUUUACCACGGACUCUGUUUCAUGCUUCAUGUUUGCCUCGUCUUCAGUCACGGAUCUAGCCAAGAAUCAAGUUUAUUUCCAGCCUUGUUGCCAAGCUUCAUUGGACUUUAAAGACUCUGUUAUUUCCCCACACUAUUGCUUGGCAAAGUGUGUGUUUCGAGGCCAGUCUCUAUCUAAUAUCUUUAUUAAAGAAAUAUAUAAAAUCAAUAAAAACAAGUGAAGGAUAUAGUUCAGAAGCAGACCUUUCAAAUGAGGUCAAAUAUAGUCCAAAAAUGUAUUGUCCAAUAAAUGAUAUUAGAGUUCAAAGUUUUAAUCCACUUGACCGAAACACACACUUUGCCAAGCAAUAGUGUGGGGAAAUAACAGAGUCUUAGAGUCCAAUGAAGCUUGACAACAAGGCUGGAAAUAAAGUUGAUUCUGGACUAGGUCCGUGACUGGAGACAAGGCAAAACAUGAAGCAUGAAGUAAAACCGUGGUAAAACCGCGAGGCAGGGCAAGGCUUGAAGCUGGAUCCGGGAAGCAAGGAACUGGGAUUACGAAGUCCACACACAAUCUCUCUCCUGAAGCUGAUCAAUUGACUCCGCAAAGAAUCCUUCGCGCCAAACACCUAUAUUGGGUCUCGUUUUCCCACCAACAGAACUCUUUCCCUAGAGAACGAGAAGCGAAACCCAACUCUGUCCAGAUGCAAGACUCCUUAGAAUUUCCCAAGGGAAGCAGACCUAAUCAGCCAUUUGUUUGGCAGCGAUUCUUAGACUUCUCCGAUUAGCUUCUCUGACUCCCCUGUCUUUAGAAUAAAAUUCCUUCCUGGGAAACGGAGGGGAGUACUGCCUAAGGCCUGGUUUACUGAAUUCUUGAGUGCAAACAUCAACAUCCGGCAGGUGAAGAGACUCCAGUUCUUGUUGAACCGGCGAAAACCCCAUGUUUUCAUCUUCAUCUGCCACAAUAGUACUAGGAACAGGACUACAAGGCCCAUGAGUCAUCACAUAAUUGCUGACAAUAUUUUGGCAUCCUGAUUUAUUAAUGAAAUUAUCAGUCUAUUUCUGAUUCCCUAUCUAUACUCUGUAGGAGAUGCU